GACGAACCGCUGACAGUUAAACGGCUACUCUCAGUCACACCGAGACAAAGACAAGCCCUGGCUUACUUUUCAUUAGAAAAUAAAGAAAAAACACCAGGAAAAGGACAUUUGGCGAUGAUGACCUCAGAAAAUCAGGUCUGAGGGCGCUCUUCUUCAGAGACCACCCCAUGAGGUCCAGAUUGCCCGAUGAGGUGAGGACAGGGGCAGGCUUUGACUUGCUGAGACGGUUCAGUUUUUAUAAAACUCUCCAAAUGCCCCCAAGAAAAGAGACUGCUUUGACGAACCCUGAGAGGCAAAGGUCAGUCUUAUAUUGAGAGAAUACGUGGAUUAGUCAAUCAGUUGUUCAUCCACGAAAUAAUCAGCGGCUAUGUUUGAAACCAGAAAUCAGUCUCUUCUGUCAUUUUCCAAUAU